CACAAAGACUAUGCAAUCUAUUUGGCCAACU
rnacentral:piRNA from 1 species